rnacentral:misc_RNA from 1 species
GUACGUAAGGUAGCAUUGUACGAGAGACGCGCGUCUUUGUGCAGGAUAACGCCAAAGGAGGUGGUUAAUGCUUUGCAAGAGAACGCAAGAAAUAGCGAUUGGGUUUGACUAAAGAUUCAAAGUGAACAUAGAAAGAUGGGGACCCAGCAGUUCUGUUUGAAAUGGAACAAUCACCAUUCCAACAUGCUCUCGGUUUUUGAACAGUUACUAAGUAACGAAGCCUUAGUGGAUGUAACUCUAGCUUGCGAAGGGCACAGUUUAAAGGCACACAAAGUAGUGUUAUCGGCAUGCAGUCCCUUCUUCCAAGCUCUUUUUGUCGAUAACCCGUGUAAACAUCCAAUUGUGAUAAUGAAAGACAUGAGAUAUGUUGAUAUGAAAGCCAUUAUUGAUUUUAUAUAUCACGGUGAAGUGAAUGUGUCUCAGGAUCAGCUGUCUGCUCUUCUCAAAACGGCAGAGACUCUGAAAGUCAAAGGACUUGCCGAGGUGGGUGGGGAAAAGCAAGCCGAAAGACAUAAUGUCCAAGAAGUUACACAACAGCCCGUUAACUCUACCCCGGUUGUUUCUGGGAACCAACAUCAUCGUACGGAAUCCCCUCCGGUACACAAACGUAAGAGAGGCAGACCGAGACGGAGGUCGGGAUCGAGUCAGAGCGAUACGGAAGAACCCGUGCCAUCCAAAAUUAAGGAGCCGGAUUCUCCAGAAAUCAUCAGCGAUAUCAGUAGAGACGGCGUGAAUGAUAACACUCCAGACGUUAAUCAGAGAUUAUCUUCGGCAUCCCAGUCACGGGUUCCUCCUAUUCCUUCCAGCCAAAGCUAUUCUCAAAAAUCACACACUAUGUAUUCUCCCAUUCCUUCACAGCAGGAAUCAGGUGCUACGGUUGAAGAACCACCAUCUAUAACGGACGGUGACUUUGAUGUAGAACCAUCACGACUCAUGGAGGCUACCUUAACUACAGAUGGUGGUGGUGUCUCUAUGUACGAAUCUCACACUCAGCCAUCGGUGUCCACAUCAUUAGCUCUUCCAUCUUCUUCAGCAUUAGAACUACCACAUUCAAACUCAUUAAGUCAGGCAGUCGUUCCCACAUCUUUACAUUCGGCAUCAGAUUCAUCUGGCUCGGGUCUGGGGAACCAGAAUACUAUGGAAGAUAUUAAACCACUAGUGUCUUUUGAAGAACCCCCCAUCGGUGUUUCCAGCCACUCACAAGAUAGUAGUAGUACAAACGCAGUCUUACCUUACAUGGACACGUCGGGAAUAUCGGCCAUCCCGGGACCAAGUAGCUUUCAACACGACAUGAGUUUACAGCCUUCGCCUCAACAAGCUUCUCAAGACUUUAGAUGUUUGUAGCAAAUUUCCAGCAACACGGAGAAAAAAAUGAUGAAAGAAAUCAUCUAACGAAGUAGAAAACGUUUUCAUGUAAUCUUUGUCUUCCACCAUUUUCCUCAUUAGAGAAUAAGGAAAGUUUGUGUGUUACGUCUGUCAAGCUAGGUUUACGUUCUCGUCAAGUCUCAGUAGACACCGACGAUACAAGCACAAGGGGGCACCAAUCAGCGAAUGUGCUCUUUGCUUCAGAACUUUUAACCGACCGGAUAACCUACUGUCUCACUAUCGUGUUCACCACAGUAUAUCUGAUGCUCAAAAUAACUCGCUCUCGUAUUCUUAAACUAAUGAUCUGUUGGACAAUAUUAGAAGUUCGGAUCGAUUUUUCAAUAACCCGGAUCUGAUGUUUUCAUAAGUGCUUGCUAUAUUGAUAAUUGUGUGAAGAUAAGCAAAUAAAGUAGUGAAACUUA